GAUGAACGCUGGCGGCGUGCCUAAUACAUGCAAGUCGAGCGAACAGACGAGGAGCUUGCUCCUCUGACGUUAGCGGCGGACGGGUGAGUAACACGUGGAUAACCUACCUAUAAGACUGGGAUAACUUCGGGAAACCGGAGCUAAUACCGGAUAAUAUAUUGAACCGCAUGGUUCAAUAGUGAAAGACGGUUUUGCUGUCACUUAUAGAUGGAUCCGCGCCGCAUUAGCUAGUUGGUAAGGUAACGGCUUACCAAGGCAACGAUGCAUAGCCGACCUGAGAGGGGGAUCGGCCACACUGGAACCUAGACACGGUCCAGGCUCCUACGGGAGGCCGCAGUAGGGAAUCUUCCGCAAUGGGCGGAAGCCUGACGGAGCAACGCCGCGUGAGUGAUGAAGGUCUUCGGAUCGUAAAACUCUGUUAUUAGGGAAAAACAAAUGUGUAAGUAACUAUGCACGUCUUGACGGUACCUAAUCAGAAAGCCACGGCUAACUACGUG
rnacentral:rRNA from 1 species